AUGAGGUCUCCCAGCUGUGUGAGGUCUCAGGAGAUAGUUCUUUUGAGAGCUGAGCUUUUCUGGCUUAGCAGUAGCUCAGAAAACUUUUCUUUCUCUUUCCAGUGUUCUGUGCCCCAGCUGUGUAUAAAAACUGCUCCGCCUUUUUCCAUGCAGGGGUUAACCAGGGCAUCUCCUGCCCCUUCUGCAAGGCUUUGGGUAGAAGAGAUCCAUAAAUCUGACAGCAGCUAUGGGGAGAUUCAAGGAAGAGCAGUCUCCCGCAGAGCAGCAUGCAUUACCAUCAUCUUCGGAAGAGCACAGCAUUCUAUAGGAAGCUAAUAGGCAUUACUAUAAAACAGGGUGCCAUCGUCAAAAAAGUUCAGAAAACACUGAAUUAAACAAGCUAAAUACUUAAAAACAAAACAAAACAAAACCCUGUCUGAUUUCUCAGAGGCUGAAUGUGAACUGUGUUGACAUUGUUCACCAUUCCAUUCUACCUCAUUGAAAAAGAGAACUUACUAAAUAAGUCUCUGUUGAGUGAAUGAAAGAAACUCCUGCAUGAUCUUUCUUCUUCUUCUUUAUUUUUCCCAGAGAUGGAGUUUCGCUCUUGUUACCCAAGCUGGAGUGCGAUGGCGCGAUCUCGACUCACCGCAACCUCCUCCUCCUGGGUUUAAGCAAUUCUCCUGCCUCAGCCUCUGGAGUAGCUGGGAUUACAGGCACACGCCACCAUGCCCAGCUAAUUUUUGCAUUUUUAGUAGAGAUGGGGUUUCACCAUGUUGACCAGGAUGGUCUCGAUCUCUUGACCUCGUGAUCCACCCACCUUGGCCUCCCGAAGUGCUGGGAUUAUAGGCGUGAGCCACCGCGCCUGGCCCCUGGAUGAUCUUUCUAUGUGACUUUGGGCAAGUUACUUCACCUCUCUGUUGAUACUAAAUAAGGAUAAAGGAUCUACUUUACACGGUUGUUAUGAGGAACAAAUGAGUUAAUGUACAAAAAGUGCUUAAAACAGUGCCUGGCAUAUAUUGAGCAUGAUGUGUUUCCUAUCCAU
rnacentral:lncRNA from 1 species